UCGGCACCGGGCAGUGGGGCUUGGGAUUGAGCUUUCUGCCCUGGGCCCCAGUGAGUAUAGGGCUGGCCUGCUCUCUGGUUUAUUUUGACGAACCCCCUGAAACCUGCUCGUGGCUCCCCAGGGGCCCAGGACCUCUGGCUGAGAGCUGCUGAUAUAGCACACACUUCAGCUCCUCGGUCUAAUAAGCCCCUCCUUAGAGUCCUCU